UGGGGAUGACGUCAAGUCCUCAUGGCCCUUAUGUCCAGGGCUACACACGUGCUACAAUGGCCGGUACAAAGGGCAGCAAAGCCGCGAGGUGGAGCCAAUCCCAGAAAGCCGGUCUCAGUUCGGAUUGGAGUCUGCAACUCGACUCCAUGAAGUUGGAAUCGCUAGUAAUCGCGGAUCAGCAUGCCGCGGUGAAUACGUUCCCGGGCCUU
rnacentral:rRNA from 1 species